UCCGUUUCGAAUGUCAUAUUACGAAUAUGUAAAUAACGACGGAAGCUAGUUCGUAACCUAUACGUGAACUUGUAAUUAUAAUACAUCACUGGUGGCAUUAAGCUUUUAUCCGCCACAGAGUUUGAAACAGGUACGACGCGAUCAGCGUUAACAGAAGCACGUAUCGAUCAAGUGAUCAGUCGGUUAAAGACAGAGGGACAGAAUAAAGCCACAUAAAAUGGGAGCACAUUAUGACCAUGCAUUCUUCUACGUUUCACCUACCGUCUCAUCUCGGUGUACUGAUUCUACCAAGGAAUGAUGUUUUAAAGCAAGAGUAUAUAAAGAUUGUGGGAGACCGCAUAAAAGAAAAUGGAGACGGUACAGCAUCCUUCACCGCUUCACGUAGGCCAUUAUUCUCCAGCAGAUAUUCAAACAUCAUCACAGAAGCUUCUUCAUGCUAUAAAAACAUUAUCGGAUCAGACGAAGAUGCCAACGAAGACUUGAAAGAUAGAAUAUACACGGACUGGGACGAAACCAAAAGUGUAUUGAAUAGACAUCAGGUCAUAAAUUUUAUAUUUCUCAUACCGCCUCAUAGCAGCGACUAUAUUCUAUAGAAACCUGGGGUUUAAUAAGGAAUAUCCAGGUGCUCUGUUGAUUUACAGACAAUGAGCAACGUAAAGGCGAUAAAUUAAUUUACGCUCUCAAGUAAUCGUUUCUAGUAUACAAGUACCAGCAAGGUACUUACAGCAUCACUGCUACCAAGAUUGAGAGCGCUGAAGUACUCCUGUCACAAAAUCUUAUAAACGCUUAUAAUUUUUCCAAAUAUCGAUACAGGACCCUGCAGUCUCAUCUUGUAUGGAGUAAAUCACUAAACCCUGAGUUGCCUGAACAGAGCCUUACUUGAGAAUCUGAUCGUCAGCAGCGUCCAUAAUCUGACACAGUUCCGUUCUCAUGCCUACUCUGGUCCCGUAGGUCACCCUUUCAUUAAACCUUGUAAAAAUAAAUCAAGCAGAAUUACAUCUGAUCUCGACAACCAAGGUAGUAGACCACGACGACCAAUCCAACAAUUUUAUUAUCAAUGAUUCAAGCGAUUCAACUUGAUGACGGAAAAGUGAAGGCGUCCUCUCAUGCUGAAAGAACGCACCACACACUGUUUCCAGAGACACAUUCUGCAUUCCCCAAAAUUAUUCAAAAAAGUCUUGUUCGGAAUGAGGAAGGCUUUGCAAUGGAAACUGUGGCAGACACUUUGAACAGUCAUAAAAUUUAGCAAUGAAUUAAUGCGAUUAAAUCUCUCAUUUAUUUUUCUAUGCGUUCGCCUAGAAACUGUCAUAGUUCCAUACUCGCUGGGAAUUGGACCAAUGUUGUAACAACACUUUUUACAUGAAAUUACAUCCCGAAUCACCCUCUGAUGUAUUGUGGACUGUCUGUAAAACACUCAGUGUAAUAAAAAUGAAACAUUAACAAAUAUUAAAAUUUUUACAAUAACCAAA